rnacentral:rRNA from 1 species
UACGGAGGGUGCAAGCGUUAUCCGGAUUCACUGGGUUUAAAGGGUGCGUAGGAGGGCAGGUAAGUCAGUGGUGAAAUCUCCGAGCUUAACUUGGAAACCGCCGUUGAUACUAUCUGUCUUGAAUAUUGUGGAGGUGAGCGGAAUAUGUCAUGUAGCGGUGAAAUGCUUAGAUAUGACAUAGAACACCAAUUGCGAAGGCAGCUCGCUACACAUAUAUUGACUCUGAGGCACGAAAGCGUGGGGAUCAAACAGG